rnacentral:rRNA from 1 species
UACGAAGGGGGCUAGCGUUGCUCGGAAUCACUGGGCGUAAAGCGCACGUAGGCGGAUUUGUCAGUCAGGGGUGAAAUCCCGGGGCUCAACCUCGGAACUGCCUUUGAUACUGAGGAUCUUGAGUACGGGAGAGGUGAGUGGAACUGCGAGUGUAGAGGUGAAAUUCGUAGAUAUUCGCAAGAACACCAGUGGCGAAGGCGGCUCACUGGCCCGUUACUGACGCUGAGGCACGAAAGCGUGGGGAGCAAACAGG